rnacentral:tRNA from 1 species
GCCUGGGUGGCUCAGUCGAUUGAGCGUCCGACUUCGGCUCAGGUCAUGAUCUCACGGUCUGUGGGUUCGAGCCCCGCGUCGGGCU